rnacentral:rRNA from 1 species
AUUGAACGCUGGCGGCAUGCCUAACACAUGCAAGUCGAGCGGAUGAAGGGAGCUUGCUCCUGGAUUCAGCGGCGGACGGGUGAGUAAUUCCUAGGAAUCUGCCUGGUAGUGGGGGAUAACGUCCGGAAACGGGCGCUAAUACCGCAUACGUCCUGAGGUAGAAAGUGGGGGAUCUUCGGACCUCACGCUAUCAGAUGAGCCUAGGUCGGAUUAGCUAGUUGGUUGGGUAAAGGCCUACCAAGGCGACGAUCCGUAACUGGUCUGAGAGGAUGAUCAGUCACACUGGAACUGAGACACGGUCCAGACUCCUACGGGAGGCAGCAGUGGGGAAUAUUGGACAAUGGGCGAAAGCCUGAUCCAGCCAUGCCGCGUGUGUGAAGAAGGUCUUCGGAUUGUAAAGCCCUUUAAGUUGGGAGGAAGGGCAGUAAGUUAAUACCUUGCUGUUUUGACGGUACCAACAGAAUAAGCACCGGCUAACUUCGUG